GAGGGUAUAGCUCAAGUGGCAGAGCACAUGCUUAGCAUGCACGAGGUCCUAGGUUCAAUCCCCAGUACCUCCU
rnacentral:tRNA from 1 species